rnacentral:lncRNA from 15 species
AAAAACAAACAAAUAAAUAAACAAAAAUCAGCUGAUUGUCAGAAAAAAUACAUUUCUUUAAAAAACUCCAGAAAUAAAAACAGCCGAUGGAGAAAGUACACAGGAAAUAUUGCAGGUAAUACUACUGAUACUAAUACUAAUAAUACUACUGAUACUACUAAUACUGAUACUAAUAAUAAUACUGCUACUACUGCAGGUAGUACUACUCCUACUGAUACUACUACUCCUACUGAUACUACUACUCCUACUGAUACUACUACUCCUUCUACUGAUACUGAUACUACUGUUGCUACUGAAGGUAGUACUACUACUAAUACUACUGAUACUAAUACUAAUAAUACUACUGAUACUAAUACUAAUAAUACUACUGAUACUAAUACUAAUAAUAAUACUACUGAUACUAAUAAUACUGAUACUAAUAAUACUGCUACUACUGCAGGUAGUACUACUCCUACUGAUACUAAUACUACUCCUACUGAUACUAAUACUACUCCUACUGAUACUACUACUACUCCUACUGAUACUACUACUACUCCUACUGAUACUACUACUACUCCUACUGAUACUAAUACUACUCCUACUGAUACUACUACUCCUACUACUGAUACUGAUACUACUACUACUGUUGCUACUGAAGGUAGUACUACUACUAAUACUACUGAUACAAAUACUAAUACUACUGAUACUAAUACUAAUAAUAAUACUACUGAUACUAAUAAUACUGAUACUAAUAAUACUGCUACUACUGCAGGUAGUUCUACUCCUACUGAUACUAAUACUACUACUACUGAUACUACUCCUACUACUGCUACUGAAGGUAGUACUCCAACUACUGCUAUUACUGCUAUUACUACUACUACUGAUACUACUACUGAUAAUACUACUGAUACUACUACUGAUACUACUACUNNNNNNNNNNNNNNNNNNNNNNNNNNNNNNNNNNNNNNNNNNNNNNNNNNNNNNNNNNNNNNNNNNNNNNNNNNNNNNNNNNNNNNNNNNNNNNNNNNNNCUCAGUACAGCUGGACUCUGGAUGGACACACACUGACAGACACUCAGCUCCUCUCUGGAAAUAAUGAGACUAACAACAUCACUCUGAAACCAGACGUCUCAGGACAACUGGUCUGCUCAGUCAGGAAUCACAUCAGUGGGAUAUCUACCUGUGGCUUCAUGUUCACUGACUGCAGCUUAUCCAACGGGAUGCACAUAUCACAGAGCGUGCGUGUAUCCAGUAACAGCCGGUGCAUUGAGCCAACAUCAACCUCUACCACAAUCACAGACACUUCUGUGGAUCACUCCAUACUCAUAUGCAGUUUGCGAGCAGCUGUGGUGAUUUCUAUAUUGAGUGGGAUUGCUGUUUAUUUUGUCUGGAAGAAGAAGAAAUACGAGAAAGCUAAAGGUUCUGCCGUCUCUCGAAAGAGGGAACAUCAAGAGAACUCUGUUAUAAUGGUUGAAAUGAGAAGUUCUGCAUCUGAACUUUAACUUUCUGGAACCAGAACCUUUGUGUUGCCUCUCACCUGCUGUGAUUGGUCAUGUGUCUUUAUGGAUGUGAAAAUAGAGUUUAGAGCAGAAACUCUUCUGUUUUUAUUCUACUCAGAUUCACUUCUUAGCAGCUCACUAUGAAUAAGUUCCUAUAGAAAGGUCUGUGAGUGUUUUCUGCAUUUGUCUUAGGAACCUUUUUACUUGGUCACUUGACUGGUUGUUGACUUGGUGAAAGUUUACAUAUUUACUUAAUGUGGAAAGACUGUCUUGUUGUAAAGGUUUCAGUGCACUGCUGCAUUUGGAGAGUGCUAAAGCAUCCGGAGGCUCACAGCAGUUUAUCCUGAAGUCAAGAGUCAUGUUUUGAAUAAAGCUUAUAUUGUUAUAUUAAUAGUGCAACUAAUUUCAAUGCAAUUUGGGAAUAAGUAACAUUACAGAGAAAUAUAGCAUAUAUGCAGAUUGUUUUUUUCAAAGGAAUAAAGAAAAGAAAACAAUUAGGUAUAGCAACAAAUAAAAGCCACAAAGACAUGAAUAAAGUCUGAAGCUGUAUCAUACCAUUUACUACUGUAUCUAGAGGCUGACAUGAUGUAAAAAUAUAACACUGCAAUCAUUAUUAUUAACCAUUAAGCUGUCAAAAUCACUUGAUAACAACUCAAAUUCAUGCACACUACAUUGAUUCAACAGUGUAUAGUGGAUCAUGUUUUCUAAUAUUUUAACGGUUUAAUCACUUUUUAGCUUGAUAGUUGAACUGAAAACACAAAUUUUAAUUAAAAUGUAUCUGAAAUUUUGUUUUUUGUAACCAACAUCUCUGUGUGUAAAUAAUUGUGUCCAGCAUGCUCUUAUAAUAAUAAUCUGCUAUGGCGUUAGGUGCAGUAUGAGAGGUUGCGGCAGCAUCUGUCAGUUUCAAAUCCUCUUUUAGUAUGAAAGAGGAAUGUUUUCAUCUCUUCCAGUCAGUCCAUCCUACCCUUGUGUCUCUCUCCUUCUGGGCUAAAAGGGAAGUAAAACUAACAUUGCUUAAUUUUUCUGCUCUCCUCUCUGAAGUUGAUCACUUUUCAGGACACAUUUUCUCAGUGUAGGAUGUGCAUGUUUGCUUUUAAGUAGAAAGGUUUGUCUGGAAGCUGCUGACUGGAUCAAAACACUGAGGAGACAUGCAAGCUGUGAUUGGACUGUUGCUGAUGCUACUCGGAGUCUCUCAUGGUGAGAUGUUUAACUUGUUUAGUCUGACAUAUUUUAUAGUCUGGCAUCAUCUUCAGUGAUGUUUUUAACAGAUUAAUCACUGACGCACACUGGAACCAAAUUUAAACAAGACACAUAAAUAAAUUAAAUACAAUUAAAUAUCUUUGGUGUAUAAGUGAUGGCUUAUGUUUAACCACUAUUUAUGUAUGAAAUUGUAACCAAGAAAUUCAAAGGCUCAAAAGCUCAAAAUCUAUUUUAUUGUCGCUCACUGUACGUAAAAAGGAGGACUGCAAACUCAGUUAUAAACGUGGAAUCAUAAUCUCAGUAAGAAUAAAAACAUGCUGUUACAACAGAAAUACAUUCCCUUUGAUAUGUAAAGGUUCUUCUAAGAGUUGGGAAUGAAAAGAAUUAUAUGUGCAUUUGAAAACGUAAUUUAAAACAUAAUUUUAUAUUCUUCUCCAGUGAACUAGGAUUUUUACACAUAGGCUACAGGUUUGCUGAAAUUUGCUUUAAAGUAAGAAAAAAAAAACCCUUUAUGACAUUGUAACGGCACUUUAUUGCAGGGACACGUUGCUUACCUUCACAAGAAACACUGCAUACUAUUAUACACAUGAGAAGCCGAGAUGUUGAACAAUUGUUCAAAUUCUAAUUUGAACAUUGUUUUGUUCAGUCAGUCAAUUUCAGAGGGAAUGUAUAAUGGUUCCUCUUUUUUAACCUUGUUGAUAAAUAAUUCUGAAAAAAGACAAAACAAUAAUCCUCUGACUACAAAAUGGUUAUAAUAAAGUGUAGGGGCAUUUUCCUCUGGCACUUUCUUUUAAGCCCACAAACUGGUUGUAAACAAAAUUUGAAAUUCUUACAAAUUGAUGGCCAUAUAAUAAAGUCUUAAAGCAGAGCCUGAUACAUAAAUAACAUCCUAAUGUCCUCAACAUAAAUGAGGAACUGAUUUGAUCAGUUGGCAUAUUCUGUUUCUGUACCAUGUUGUGAAUAACAGAAGAAGCAUUACUGUGAUGUCUGAGGAGGUCGUCUGAGGUUUGACUGUUUGAAGCAGUCCAGUAUUGAAAUUGAUAAAGAUAACCUGAGCCCUGAUGAUGAUUAUGGCCACUGUGUUAAAGUGAUUUCAUACAUGUUUCCAUAUUAGUGAAUACAAGAAUCCUGGGUAUGGAACAAAAUAUUACCUGAUGAUGGUUUAAGGACCAAAAGAAUUGUCAGUAAAGUUGUUUCAGUUUUUGAUCUCGCACACACGUCUAAAACACUUUCUGGUUUGGAAAAUCUUUGUAGUAGAUGAAGCUGUGUCAAUUUAAAGUGAAAUUUUUGUUAGAUCAUAAUUUUUGAGCAUUCAAUCUGCAUUAAUCUUUUCUGUUUCUGUCGAGCGCACGAGUUAGUGUUUACCUGUUUUGAGUUACUUGGAUAUAUUGACUUUCAGUGUCAGCAAUAAGUCCUGACAAUACUAACAGACAUACAUCGGGACUCGAACAGCAACACCUAACAAAGUCAGUUCAGUAAACUUUGUAACAGUCUGUUCUUUCUUUCCCUAAAGAGGGCUUCAGUUUUGUGAGUCCAGUCCUUUUUUUAAUUGAUUUGCAUCCCAAGGUAAUUGUAUGAGGUCACUGUCUUUAAUUAAACUCCUUGGACAACCAGGACAGGAGACCUGCUGUUCUUCUUGUAGUCCACCA